AACGAACGCUGGCGGCGUGGAUUAGGCAUGCAAGUCGAACGCGAAAGAGGGAGCAAUCCCUCAAGUAGAGUGGCGAACGGGUGAGUAACGCGUGAAGAACCUGCCUUCAACAGGGGGAUAACACUCCAACGGGUGCUAAUACGCAUGAGACCACGGGUCCGCAUGGACCUGAGGUCAAAGGUGGCCUCUGCUUGCAAGCUACCGGUUGAAGAUGGCUUCGCGUCCCAUAGCUAGUUGGCGGUGUAAAAGACCACCAAGGCGACGAUGGGUAGCUGGUCUGAGAGGAUGGUCAGCCACACUGGGACUGAGAUACGGCCCAGACUCCUACGGGAGGCAGCAGUCGAGAGGCUUUUGGCAAA
rnacentral:rRNA from 1 species